rnacentral:rRNA from 1 species
GUCAGCUCGUGUCGUGAGAUGUUGGGUUAAGUCCCGCAACGAGCGCAACCCUUGACUUUAGUUGCCAGCAAGUAAGGUUGGGCACUCUAGAGUGACUGCCGGUGACAAACCGGAGGAAGGUGGGGAUGACGUCAAAUCAUCAUGCCCCUUAUGACCUGGGCUACACACGUACUACAAUGGCCGGUACAACGGGAAGCGAAGCCGCGAGGUGGAGCGAAUCCUAGAAAAGCCGGUCUCAGUUCGGAUUGCAGGCUGCAACUCGCCUGCAUGAAGUCGGAAUUGCUAGUAAUCGCGGAUCAGCAUGCCGCGGU